rnacentral:rRNA from 1 species
UGAAAGAUGGUUUCGGCUAUCGCUUACAGAUGGGCCCGCGGUGCAUUAGCUAGUUGGUAGGGUAAUGGCCUACCAAGGCAACGAUGCAUAGCCGACCUGAGAGGGUGAUCGGCCACNCUGGGACUGANACACGGCCCAGACUCCUACGGGAGGCAGCAGUAGGGAAUCUUCCGCAAUGGACGAAAGUCUGACGGAGCAACGCCGCGUGUAUGAAGAAGGUUUUCGGAUCGUAAAGUACUGUUGUUAGAGAAAAACAAGGAUAANAGUAACUGCUUGUCCCUUGACGGUAUCUAACCAGAAAGCCACGGCUAACUACGUGCCANCAGCCGCGGUAAUACGUAGGUGGCAAGCGUUGUCCGGAUUUAUUGGGCGUAAAGCGCGCGCAGGCGGUCUUUUAAGUCUGAUGUGAAAGCCCCCGGCUUAACCGG